AUGAAAGAAAAGAUCCUGAACCAGGAAAAACUCGCCUAACUACACGCACAAGUGUGCAUUGGUGGGAAAGGAACCGCUCAUAGAAAGAAGACGGCGAUUCACAGAACAAUCACAGCAGACGAUAAAAGACUACAGUUCUCCUUAAAGAAGUUAGGGGUAAACAAUAUCUCUGGUACUGAAGAAGUGAACAUGUUUACAAACCAAGGAACAAGGAUCCAUUUUAACAAUCCUAAAGUUCAGGCGACUCUGGCAGCAAACACCUUCACCAUUACAGGCCACGCUGAGACGCAGCAGCAGACAGAAAUAAUACCCAGCAUCCUAACCCAACUUGGUGCAGACAGUGUGGCUGUUUAAGGAAACGGGCUGAAGCUCUGCCCAGUCUGUGGACAAAAAAAGCACCACUUGUUCCUGGAGAGGAUGAGGAUGAUGAAGUUCCAGAUCUGAUGGAGAAUUUUGUUGAGGCUUCUAAGAAUGAGGCAAACUGA
rnacentral:lncRNA from 1 species